UGGCGAUUAGUAAUCCGCGUAUUUUCUUCUUCUUGCCUUCCAUGUUGAGAGUACGGACCUUGUCGACUUCAAACCCGUAAAGGGACUCGAGGACGCGCUUGAUUUCGAUCUUGGAAGCGGAAGGAACAGUUUUCAAGGCAAUUUCUUUGAUGUUGUUGAAGCUUGUAGGCAUUAGGAGCUUGAUCGGGAGGUUUGCGAAGUGAACUACUCUUCUUCCUAGUCUGCUCCCCAUCUGUUUUUGUUUUUGCUCCUUC
rnacentral:misc_RNA from 1 species